AAAUUUUCCCUGUGGAAGAGUCGCCAUGCGGCUAUUGUGACGACGGCACUAUCUCCGAAACUUAAAAGUCGAGAGUGAAAUUGAUUAAAAUUUGUUUUAUUUAUUUUUUAAUUCCUAUUCGAUAAUAUGCGUUGUGAUUUGUAGUUACGUAUGUUUUACUUUUGUUUUAGACAUUUAAAUUUACUUGACACUGUUUUUCGUGCGCUAUAAUUUUUUAUGGAAGCUAACGACAGCAGUGAAGUUCGGUCUACCGGCACGCCGCCUUUCAACGGUAACAACUGUUGCAGCUCGUCUGUUGGGGUCAAAACGUCGGAUACUUCUUCUGGUUUGAAAAUUCUCAGUAAAAAUUCAAACGGAACAAUGAUCAUGACGUCUAACCCAAGCAACGAGGCUGAAUUACAACUUUACAGGGUAAUGCAAAAAGCGAGUCUAUUGGCUUAUUAUGAUACGCUUUUGGAAAUGGGAGGUGAUGAUCUUCAACAGCUUUGCGAUGCAGGUGAAGAAGAAUUUCUGGAAAUAAUGGCGUUGGUAGGCAUGGCAUCUAAACCUCUGCAUGUUAGACGCCUUCAAAAAGCACUCCACGAGUGGGUCAGCAAUCCAGCCAUGUUCCAGACUCCUUUGUCGUCUCCAGUAUCCACCGCCACUUCCACAGUAGUUCUUCCUUCUAAUCCUAUUCGUCCUUACCUCAGUGCUUGUCCUAAUCCUUUAAUUCAGACGUCCAUUCAUCAUGGAUAUUACACGCCUUUGGGAUAUGGUUAUCAACCACCCGCUUCACCAUUGCCAUUACCUAGCUCCACCAACCAAUUACCACAGGUUGCCCAAACCAGCGAAGCAACCACUUCAGCCGGACAAAAUUACGGAGAUAGCAAUAGUCCAGCUCAAAGUCCAGGAUCGCCUUUACAGUUAUCUCCAGCUUUGGAUGAAUCGCAAAUAUGUAGAUUAGCAACGUCUGCAAAACAACUAGUACAUAGGUUACCACAAUACCAACCAAAAAUGCAAACUGCUAAAAGAAAAAUGAACAAAGAGCUCGAGACUAUUAUGAAUAUGUCAGAAGAAGAUCCUAAGCGCAUAGAAGCAAUAAGAAAAUAUUCUGCUAUAUACGGACGAUUUGACUGCAAAAGAAAACCAGAAAAACCUUUGACGUUGCACGAGAUCUCUGUAAAUGAAGCUGCCGCACAAAUUUGUAAGUUGGUACCAGUACUGUUGACGAGACGUGAUGAAUUAUUUCCGUUGGCUAGACAAGUGGUUCGUGAUUCGGGAUAUCAUUACUCCAAAGGACAUUCUAAGAGUAUUCACAGUUAUAGAGCGUUGAGUUCUAACAGUGAUGAGUACAGAUCCAAGAGGCAAAGACUGGACGAUCAAGACGAGUUUCACAAGAUCCGGCGUCAAGAACGUUUGGAACAAAUAGCGGAAGAGUUGCUUACGAUGAACUCGCGUAGAGACGAAUUAAAUAAAAAAUCUAAAGAAGACCCGGCGGUACAAUAUCAGCUGGAAACUCUCAAAAAUCGACAAGCUCAGCUAUUGGUCGAACAAAACGACUUGCAGCAGAACAAAUCAUCGAGAAGAGAUAGUACGAGCUGUAGGGAUUUUGACACAGACGAUACGGACUCCCAACUUUCUUAUAGCAACGCCAGUUCACCAUUACAGGAUAUCGGCGACUCGAGGGAUUCAAUGUCUAGGAGUAUGGAUUUCAAUAACGACGGCAAAGUAUCCUCGCAGAAUACAACCGGUAAUCAGGUAAAACGUGCUCACGGCGGUGAUGGCGAGUGCGGUGAUGAAUAUGCAUGCGGCACCAGUCCGCUUUAGAGAAACUUUGGUCACAAAAACUUAAUCUAAUAUUUAAAAUAACAUCCAUUGGCUAAUGAAAGAACCGAGAUUGUUGAUAAUUAACGAUAACAAUAUUAUUUCUAAAAAAAGAAAAUCAUAAUUUGGUACCUUCAAAAAAUCAAUAUCGUUGACUCAGUGCUCAGUGCAUGAUCACAAAAGUUUUAAUUUCAUUUCGUCAAGUGCAUUUUCAUUAAACGUUUAUGUUUUUUUGUAUUCUUUUUCCCAGUUUUUUUUUUUCGAAGUUUUUACGUAAUUAUAAGAUAUAUAUUUAUAAUUAUUGAUUUUGUAAAAUUCGUUUAAAUCAUAAAAUUACUGUAAUCAUUUCUGGACCAAAUAAUAAACAGCACUAUGUCGUCGGCGUUUUUCUUAUAUUUUCAGAUAAGUAAAUAUAUCGUUUAAAAUGACAACAUACUCAAGUAAGAUUUUUAAUAGUCAAACGACAAUCUCGGUAAAUUAACUAAAAUUAUUUAGUAAUUGAAAUUAUAGCUUGGACCAGUCUCUAGACUUUUUAUAGUAAAGUGAAGUAAUAUAUAUUUUGGUUGGAAACUAUUUUUCUAAUUAGAUAUAUUGCUACAAAUUGUAUAUAUUUAAAAUACAUUUUAAUCAUAAUAGGACAAACGAUUUAUGGGACAAGUAAUAUAUAAAUAUGACUUAAAUACUUUCAGUUUUCGUACCAAUUUAGCAAAAUAUAGAAGUAGUGGACAUAAAUCAGUCAUCUACUUGGACUAUAAUUUAUUUUUUAGACAGAAUCUCCUACCUAAAUUUACAGUUAAUUUUAAUUUUUCUUGAGUAUUGAUUAUAAUUCAAAAUGAAAAUUGUCCGACAUUAAAGAUCCUAUGGACGGUGGUAUAUCAAAAUGUAAAAAAGUUGACUAAAAUUUAUUUUCAUCAAUUAAUUUUUCCUUUAUCAUAGUAUAUUUCUAUUAGUGUACUAUAUUAAUUUAAUUAAUGUACAAAAUAUAAUUUUGUCACAACUAGUUUAUUUUACUAUCGAUUUUUCAAAGUAGUCUUUUGCGCACAAAAUAUAUAAAUCGUCAGAAACCUAUUUUUAAUUUUGGAACACUGUGAUACAGUGACUUUAAAAGACCUAACUUAAAUAUUAAAAUUUUUAACUAAGGUAUCAAAAUAGGGGUUAUUAACUUAGAUAUUAAAUUUUUUAUGUACAUAACUAAUUUUUUUACUAGGCAUGUAUAAUACAUUAACACAUUUUUUUAAAAUUUAAUAACCACAUAUUGUUCAGUUUAUGUUUGUUUUAGUUUUUUUGCUUUAUGUUUAUUGUUAAAAUCAGAGUAAUUUCUCUAGUAUUCGCGAGUCAGAUAAAAAUGAGACGGAAGAAUUUUGCUGUAGUCCAAACGAUAAAAAUGUUGUUGAACCUUUUUUCAGCGAUAAAGUCCAA